CCCUUAGAUGUCCUGGGCCGCACGCGCGCUACACUGAUGCAUGCAACGAGUAUAUAACCUUGGCCUGAAAGGCCUGGGUAAUCUUUUGAACGUGCAUCGUGAUAGGGAUAGAUUAUUGCAAUUAUUAAUCUUCAACGAGGAAUGCCUAGUAGGCGCAAGUCAUCAGCUUGCGUCGAUUACGUCCCUGCCCUUUGUACACACCGCCCGUCGCUCCUACCGAUUGGGUGUGCUGGUGAAAUGUUCGGAUCGGCCGUUUGUCGCGGUUUCCGCGUCAUGUGGCUGAGAAGUUCAUUAAACCCUCCCACCUAGAGGAAGGAGAAGUCGUAACA
rnacentral:rRNA from 1 species